GAUGAACGCUGGCGGCGUGCCUAAUACAUGCAAGUCGAGCGAACAGACGAGGAGCUUGCUCCUCUGACGUUAGCGGCGGACGGGUGAGUAACACGUGGAUAACCUACCUAUAAGACUGGGAUAACUUCGGGAAACCGGAGCUAAUACCGGAUAAUAUAUUGAACCGCAUGGUUCAAUAGUGAAAGACGGUUUUGCUGUCACUUAUAGAUUGAUCCGCGCCGCAUUAGCUAGUUGGUAAGGUAACGGCUUACCAAGGCGACGAUGCGUAGCCGACCUGAGAGGGUGAUCGGCCACACUGGAACUGAGACACGGUCCAGACUCCUACGGGAGGCAGCAGUAGGGAAUCUUCCGCAAUGGGCGAAAGCCUGACGGAGCAAAGCCGCGUGAGUGAUGAAGGUCUUCGGAUCGUAAAACUCUGUUAUUAGGGAAGAACAAAUGUGUAAGUAACUAUGCACGUCUUGACGGUACCUAAUCAGAAAGCCACGGCUAACUACGUG
rnacentral:rRNA from 1 species